rnacentral:rRNA from 1 species
UACGUAGGGGGCUAGCGUUGUCCGGAAUCAUUGGGCGUAAAGCGCGUGUAGGCGGUCCGGUAAGUCCGCUGUGAAAGUCGGGGGCUCAACCCUCGGAUGCCGGUGGAUACUGUCGGGCUUGAGUACGGAAGGGGCGAGUGGAAUUCCUGGUGUAGUGGUGGAAUGCGCAGAUAUCAGGAGGAACACCCGUGGCUAAGGCGGCUCUCUAGUACGGUACUGACGCUGAGACGCGAAAGCGUGGGGAGCGAACAGG